rnacentral:sRNA from 1 species
GAUUCUAAGUCGCUGAAUUUCUUUUUUGGAAAGCGGGGGAACCACACAUGCCUUCUUAUCAAGGCAAGGGGUGAGGCCUUUUAGUUUUUAAGGCGGGGCUACUCUUCAUGCCCUAAUCCGACAGCUAACCCCGUAAGCGUUAAGGAGAGAGAAU